rnacentral:rRNA from 1 species
GCAAGCCGAGCGCUCUCUUCGGAGAGAGCGGCAGACGGGUGAGUAACGCGUGGGAACAUACCUAAUAGUACGGAAUAACGAUUGGAAACGAUCGCUAAUACCGUAUACGCCCUCAGGGGGAAAGAUUUAUCGCUAUUAGAUUGGCCCGCGUUGGAUUAGCUAGUUGGUGAGGUAACGGCUCACCAAGGCGACGAUCUAUAGCUGGUCUGAGAGGAUGAUC